GCAAGUCCUGUCAUAUAACUGUCUCCCGCACUGUCUGUCCAUAAAGAAUGUCUCGGAAUUGGUGUAAUUCAGAGAAAUUAAUGACGACUUUCCGCGGGACGGCUCCCUGGGGGAUGAUUAACACUUCAUCGUCCAUCUGAUGCGCGGGGCCCAGCACUCCAUCGCGAACAUUUGGGCCGUGGCCAGCCGCAUUAAAGAAACGGCAGGAGUUGGCAUCAGAAUGCAGCAACUUGAUUCCUGGCUACUUACCAGUUCCGUGACCUGAGUUGUCUUUCAGGAGGUGUAGCCUGGUUGUGGCCUGGGGAGUUUGGCUGUUCUGUGUGGUGUGCCUCCACGGUGUGGUCUCCAGUGAGCUGCUCAGCAGGUGUAGACCCGGGCAGGGCGAAGCUCUCUGGGCUGUUGACUGUGAGGCCCCUCCCCACCGGUAGAUUUCCAAGCCUCUUCAGUUUUGCAUUCAGCCACAGCAGGUAAACUCCUCCAGGGCAGGACCUGACUCUUCAGAGGAAUUUUUUAAUCCCCCUCCCCAGAAGUGCCCACGUCAAGGCCAUAGUAGAGAAGGAGCUCAAGAGCAAUCCCUAAGCAACCACGCUUGGAAGCAUCCUGCAACAGAGGGAUUUGUUCCAGACUCAGAUUUAAUCCACUAUUACCUUUUCGUAAGACAAGUGUUGUCUGAAGGAGUCUGUGUGUAAUUUUGAGACAAAAGGAUUGCAGAACUCAGCUCCCAGGUUGUCUCAUAUCUGAUUCUUCGAAAGAGGAAAAGAAGCGAACUCUUCUGCACAAUAGCUGAGCAGAUAGGAGAGAAAAAGCUUGAAGAUUCACAGUGGAGCAAGGCUAAUUGGAGCCUUCCUCAGAGCAGCUCAACUAUCCCAGUUUUACCUAUCCCAUUCCUUGCCAUUCCCACUUGUAAUUCUGUCUUGGCAAGAACACCAUACUGAAGGUUCUUAAAGCAGUUUGUAGACUUUAAUUAGUUCUGUGGAAAGUCAGUCAAAGCUCAGCCUUCAUUCUGCCAACAGAGACAACAGUGGUGGGUGUGGAAGGAAGGCAAGAAGAAGAUGGACACCCAGAGCAGUUGUGCAACUUACUGAAGGCCAUGUGGAUAGGAGGAACUGGGUUUAAAACCCCUGAGUCUUGAUAAAAGUGUCUUAGCCUUCUAGAUUCCUAAACAGGUAGUGGGCUCAUCCUACUAACCUACUUUGCUAGGGUGUUGUUGAUGAAUGCUUAUAAACCCUGUCCUAGAUGAUAGGUUUGGAAGAUUGUUAAAGAAAGCAUGUCAUUAAGUCCCUACUCACCCCCUCCUUGACAAAUAGCCCUGGAGGGAAAUGAAUAUUAGCCAGAAUCGUAGGGCCUCCACUUCAAUGGAAUGAACUGAGAUUCAACAACAAGAGAAAUGUUCCAACAGUGAGGGAAAUCAACAAUGUGCUGGGGGUGAAGGGUAGGGGUUGGGAAGGCCUAAACAGGUGACCAUUGCCAGACAGCCCAGACAAGAUCAUCACAGAAUAGCUGAUUCCCAUUAGACACUGUGGGUGAUCAUUAUCUUAAAAUUCAGGACACUAUUUUUGUAGUAGUUUCCCUUCCUCUCUUUGUAAGAGCAGAAGACCUCUCUGGGGCCUAUCACAAGACAAGCGGGUGUUUGCAAAUGAGGGACGUACUUUGAGACUGAAUUGCUCUGUGCUUCUCUAAAAGACAUGGUUAAGAGUUUGGGCGCUGAUGUUAGAGACUGAGAUUAAAAUCCUUCCUUGCCACUUCCAUCAGUAUAAAUUUGGAUAAGUUUCUUAACUUCUCUAAGCCUUGAUUUUCUCACCUAUAAAAUGGGCCUAAUAAUAGUGCCUAACUUAGAGGUUUGUUGUAAAGGUUAAAUGCAAUUAUUCAGGUAAAGCCUUAAUGGAGCCUGAUAUGUAGUAAGCACUCAAUCCAUUUUAUCUACUGACUCUUUUCUCUGUGUGGGUUACCCACUUUGGAGAUUGUCCCCAGUAAUUUCUUUGGUCAAGUCUUGAUCUCCCUGGCCCCUUGGCUGUCUUCUCCCACCAUGAUCAGUGAGAAGUUGAGGAGCACUAAUACCAAAUUCUUUUUCAUGUUAGUUAGGAGAAAGCAGAAUUACGAAGGUCAACCUGCUGGUGUAAAAAAAUAUUACAUAGAUUAGCCCUGCUCUACAUAUUAGAUAUGUUCUCAAAAUGCCUAAGUGGCCUUUUUUUUUUUUUUUAAUUUAAGUUCUAGGGUACAUGUGCACAACGUGCAGGUUUGUUACAUGUGUAUACAUGUGCCAUGUUGGUGUGUGGCACCCAUUAACUUGUCAUUUACAUUAGGUAUAUCUCCUAAUGCUAUCCCUCCCACCCCCACCCCCUGGCAGGCCCUGGUGUGUGAUGUUCCCCACCCUGUGUCCAUGUGUUCUCGUUGUUCAAUUCCCACCUAUGAGUGAGAACACACGUGUUUGGGUUUUUGUCCUUGCGAUACUUUGCCAAGAAUGAUGGUUUCCAGCUUCAUCCAUGUCCCUACAAAGGACAUGAACUCAUCAUUUUUAUGGCUGCAUAGUAUUCCAUGGUGUAUAUGUGCCACAUUUUCUUAAUCCAGUCUAUCAUUGAUGGACAUUUGGGUUGGUUCCAAGUCUUUGCUAUUAUGAAUAGUGCCACAAUAAACGUAUGUGUACCUGUGUCUUUAUAACAGCAUGAUUUAUAAUCCUUUGGGUAUGUGCCCAGUAAUGGGAUGGCUGGGUCAAAUGGUAUUUCUAGUUCUAGAUCCUUGAGGAAUUGCCUAAGUGGCCAUGUUUAUAUUGGGUAAUCUUUAAAUGACUUUAUUUGCAAGUCUGAGUAAUAUACUCAUAGAAACAAGAAUCACAGUUAAGGGAAGGGAAACUAAUAUUUGAGCUUGAGACACUUUCCAUAUCCAAGUCCAAUUGAAUCCUCCCAAUCACCCAAUAAAGAGAUCUUAUUAUUCCCAUUUUAUAUGUUAAACAACCAAAACUCAGAGAGGUUAAUUAAUACUCUCAAAAUCACUCUUCUAGGGGUGGUGGAGCCUAAGUUUGAAUGCAGCUCUGGCUCCCAAACCUGUCCAUUUUCUACUAUGUCAUGCUCAAAGGCAUAUUCUGCUUUUGUCCAUUGUCAGCCUAUGUGCAUUUAAGUUUCCCACACAAAUUCAAGAAGAAUUUUAUCCAUCAAUUCACAUGACCUUGAGUAUUAAUUUAGUUUAAAAAUCUUUCCCCUUAUGAUUUAAAAAAUAUUCACUUUAAGAAAUUAUCUGCCAUGUGCAGGAUUAUCAUAGGAUUAAAAAAAAAAAAGAAAUUAGCAGCCGGUUGUGGUGGUUCAUGCCUGUAAUCCCAGCACUUUGGGAGACUGAGGUGGGAGCAUUGCUUGAGGCCAGGAGUUCAAGACCAGCCUGGGUAGCAUAGUGAGACUCUGCCUCUACAAAAAAUUAAAAAUUAGCCAAGCAUGGUGACACACGCCUGUAGUCCCAGCUACUCAGGAGGCUGAGGCAAGAAGAUUACUUGAGCCCAGAAGGUUGAGGCUGCAGUGAGCUAUGACCACUACAUUCCAAUCUGGGUGAGGGGUGAGAGAAGAAAGAAAGAUAAAGAAGGAAAGAAAGAAAGUAAGAAAGAGAAGGAAAAAGGAGAAGGA
rnacentral:lncRNA from 1 species